rnacentral:lncRNA from 1 species
GCUUCAUCUAUGGAAUGAUCCAUAGAGUCCUUAGGAUAGUAGAGAUAAGAUAUAUAACUUGUGAUACAGAUUAGAUCCCACCUGGGCCAGAGCCAAGAUACAUGUGUCUCUGGCGUGUGGAAUUUGGCGAUAUCCAAAUCCCAUCCAAGUAUCUAUUUGCCCUCAUAAUUUACAUAAGGACCAAGGAGAAUCCUGGAGAAAAUCUCAAGCCAUGCCCCUGGCUGAGAAUUAGAUAUUUGAGACAUAUCUGGGAGACUUGGUGGAGGCAGGGAAGGAAUGAAAAUAAAGAAGAAUAAAGAGAGGAAGAGAAACCAGUGCACGUGCAAACACACACACCCGAAAAUGAAGUUAACUAUAAAGGAAAGUAAUGUGAAAAACCAGCCAUGCCAGCCACAAUGCCCUUCAGACCCUGAGCUCCUGAGCAGAGGUCCAAGCAAUUCUCCGGAGGCACAACAUUCUUCCCACUUUGCAAGAGAAUGCCAAACUCCUGAGGAGAAGCAGGAGGACUGCCAGCUCUGGAGUCAGAUAAGGAACUGGCAGUACAGCAGAAGCCAGGAAUUUUGUAGUCAGGGGCACCAUCAGAGCUUUUAUUAGGCACCCUCUGUGGACUUAUUCAACACUUGGGGAAGGAAGUCUGUGCAAAGUCCUGGAGUUCCCAAGUGAGCUAGCUGGAGCUUGGAGGCAGCAAGAUUCUGGUAAUUAUGUUAAUGUAAAUUUAUUGUCCCCAUAAGAUGGUAAGGUUGAAGGAUGUGUGUGAUACCUUUUGUGCCCUGUAUCAGAUUCUCUUUGCCCCACCUUUCACUUAUUCCAAAAACCACUGUAGCGACUGGUUUUGCACAGACUCCAAUCAACCUCACAUAAGUGUAACCCAAAGAACCAUUCCUUAAACAAGCCUCUUGCCUCCCACUCCAGGGCUUCCCUGUUGAGUCUGGGGAGAGGGGUUUUUAACACACUUGGGGUGGAAUUUUGACCAAUGGGGUUAGGAACUGAUUAAUAAAUGUUUCCAUCUUCUCCCCCCUGCAACCUCCAAAUGAAAUGGAAAACCAUUUCAAUCAGUUUCUCAAGCAGACCCAGGGUGAUCAAGUACCAGUGGCCCACAGGGUGAUUGACUCUAUAUUACACAUCUGCUUUGUGUCUCCCUCCUUCUCUAGUGCCUCCUGGAAUAAUUGCACUUAUAAGUUUGGUUCAGACUCUGCUUUUUUAGGAACCCAGGCUGAGGCAGGAAUAUUUAGGUCUCAUGUGACUUAGAAGCAAUAAUACAUUUGCUGUCAAUAUAGGACUUGUAUAUCUUUCAAGGCAAAUAAAUGGUAUUAUUUCCUAUUUUAUGUGAUUUACUAUAUAGUAUAAUAAUUUCAUUAUAUGCCUCUAGCAAAGAUAUAAUAAUCCUCAUCAUUUCCCUAGAUUCCUAAUCUUGCAUUUUUUUUUCCUUUUUUUUUUUUUUUUUUUUUUUGAGAUGAAGUCCCCCUCUGUCGCCUAGGCUGGAGUGCAGUGGCGUGAUCUUGGCUCACUGCAACCUCCGUUUCCCGGGUUCAAGCGAUUCUCCUUCCUCAGCCUCUCGAGUUGCUGUGACUACAGGCGCACAUCACCACACCCGGCUGAUUUUUGUAUUUUUUUAGUAGAGAUGGGUUUUCACCAUAUUGGCCAGGCUGGUCUUGAACUCCUGACCUUGUGAUCUGCCUGCCUUGGCCUCCCAAAGUGCUGAAAUUACAGGUGUGACCCACUGCACCCGGCCGAUAGUUAAUUCUUUAUUCUGUUUUCUGUUUCAGGUUUAAAUACCAAACUCUAAAGAUCAUUCUGACACAGUUUGCAGGCAGAACUCAGGGAGAAUAUUUUAUUAAGGGGAAGGAAAUAAACACAGCUAAUAUUUUCAAAACAAUCUAUAUGCCCAAACCCUAAUUAUUUAAAUUUUUUUUAUUUUUAUAGAUUCAGGGUGUACAUGUGCAGGUUUGUUACAUGGAUAGAUUGAAUAAUGGUGAGGUUUGGGCUUCUAGUGUGCCCAUCUCCCACAUAGUGAAUGCUGUACCCAAUAGGUAAUUUUUCAGCCCUCAUCUGCCUCCCAAACUCCUCCUUCUUGGAGUCUCUAGUGU